AUUAAAACUAAAAGAAAUUGGAUGGCCAUCUGCCAUUUUCUUUAAGCAAUCAAAGCAAUCCCUAAUUUUCCCCUUUUUUAACCGAUUCUCAAAGACCAAACCCUAGCCACUUCAAAAACAAAGGAAAUUUCCCCUUUCACUAUUCGGCCGAUUAACACUCUAAAAUCCCCAUCUCAGGCUUCGAUUUCGACGAAGGAGAUAAGGAUUCCGAUGGCUCGUUUUCGAAGGUUCGAUUGUACGGAAAAGAACACUCGUGGAUGAGGCUCGGAGACUCUGCGGAAUUGCUCAUAGGAGCCCGAUCCCCUGGCGUUGUUCUAGCACGUUCCAGAAGCUUCUGGCUUGUGUAAACUUGGUAACUUAGGAUUUCUUGAAUAUUUUUCUGUUUUGGGUCAGAAUUUGGGCUAGGGGUUUAUGUUAUUGUGGGCUAAAUAAUAAGACUUGUAACAGGGACAUUGGACCUAAUUAUUUUUGUUUUUUUAUUUUUGUUUUAUUUUGGUUUUGGUUUUGGUUCUAGUGUAAGCCCGGGCAAAAAUGGGUCAUUACACUCAUGGAAAAAGGAUUUAAUUUGGGAGAAAGUAAUCACAGUGACUUCAUGGAAAAAGUUCAGAAAAUAGUUAUUAAAUUGGGAAGCGUUUUGUGAUGAAAAACCGAUCCUAGAUCUUGAGUUAGUUCGAGAAUUUUAUGCAAAUCUGACCUCAACUAAUGCAAUAGAAGCUUUGUCCGAGGUAUUAAGAUAAAUGUUGACACGGAGAUGUUGCAAGAAUUUUUACGUGAACUUACAAUUCCUGGGUUUAAAUGGACUAUGUCGAGAUGCGGAAAUCAUACUUGUCGUAGAGAAAAUUUGACCCCAUUAGCAAAGGUAUGGUUUUAUUUUUUACGUUUUAGUCUAAUGUCUGUCUCACAUAGCACCACAAUUUUUGUGGAACGGAUGGUUUUGUUAUAUUCAAUUAUGAAAGCAAAGGCUAUUAAGGUGUAA